AAUGUUUUAUAAUUUUGACAUUGAUCAUGUUAACUCUUUGUACAAAUGGCAGAUUUCCUUCUUUCCAUUGAAAUACACAAGAUGCUCUUUAGAAUAUUCUCCAAUCAGAAUAACAAGAUCAUUGGGUUUUGUUCAUGCCAGCUCCAGCACAGCAAAAAGAUGGUGUAGCCAGUGACUCGGACUCCAUUGGAUGUCCCGGCGGCAUCUAUGGUAACGGGCAGCCAGCUGAUCUGAGCGAUUCCUGGAGACGGGCCCUGCUCCAGCUGCACGUCCAGAGGUGCAUCAGGAGGACCUAAGAGACAAAGGGGUCUCUACUGUCGCACUGCUCUGAUCUCUGAUGGAGGUGACAGACAGCUGUCUCUGCAGACGCAACACUUCCUUCUGUGACUCCUUCAACAGACGCUCAAACUCACUCACUCCCACAGGACCCUG